rnacentral:rRNA from 1 species
AUGUACCCGCCCCCACCGCCCCCGCUCCCCGCGGGCCGCCGCCUCCUCCCCUGGCCGGUCCCCCACCGGCCGCCUCCCGACUUCUUCUUCGAGAUGGACUACCGCCGGACCCACUCCCUCGUGCAGUUCUUGGCGGACGAGGGGGCCAUCCCGACGCCCGAGGAGGAGGAGACGAGGGAGCAGGUCAUCCGCGAGCUCAAGAAGAUUGUGACGGAUUGGGCCAAGGCGGUGGCCUGUGAGGAGAGGGUUCCCCCGAGGCGGGUGACGGCUACGGUCCUCACCUAUGGUUCUUACACGUUAGGGGCUCACGGACCUGAAUCUGACAUCGAUGCGCUAUGUGUUGGUCCCUGUAUCGCAAACUUGCCGCACCACUUUUUUGCUGUUCUGCGACAAAUUCUCAAGUGCAGGCCGGAAGUAUCAGGACUGCAGACUGUGGAAAAUGCCAAGGUUCCAUUGAUGCGAUUUAGAUUCAGUGGGAUUUCUGUUGAUCUGACAUAUGCCCAGCUCCCAGUCCUUGAUGCAGUUCAGGCUAUAAAUACAUCUAGUCCUCAGUAUCUUCGGAAACUUGAUUCACGGAGUUGGAAGAGUUUGUCUGGAGUUCGUGUUAAUGAGCAGAUUGUGCAGCUAGUGCCGGAUCAAGAGAAGUUCCAAGUUCUGUUGCGAUGCAUAAAACUAUGGGCUAGGAGGCGGGGACUUCAUUGCCAUUUGCUUGGUUUCUUUGCUGGGAUUCAUUUGGCGAUUCUUGCAGCAUAUGUUUGUCAGAGAUUUCCAAAUGCCACUGCCAAUGGUCUGUUCACCAUGUUCUUUGAGAUAUUUGCUCACUGGCCUUGGCAUAUUCCAGUAGAUCUGCAUGGUCAGCAAACUAACUGCACGCGCUCAGAUGGGUGUUUAAUGCCCAUAGUGAUGCCUUGUUCUCCGCCGGAGCUCUGUGCGUCUAAUAUGACGGAAGGUACCUUCAGGAAGAUCAGAGAGGAGCUUAUGCGUGGUUAUGUUUUGACCAAGGACCUAGGGAGCCAUGAUUUUGAGUGGGCAUGGAUUUUUGAACCCUUCCCAUAUUCGACAACAUAUGAACAAUUUCUUCGCAUUGCUCUAUGUGCUCCAACUUCUGAAGAACUGCAUGAUUGGACUGGAUGGGUUAAAUCCCGCUUCCCUUACCUUAUUCUCAAGCUGGAAGAUAACGGCAUUGAGUGUGACCCCAAUUCAUCACAGGAAGUUGAUCAUACAGUCAUCAAACCCAACAUUGUAUAUCACUGGGGCCUCAUCCCUCAAUCAGAUACUCUUCUUGAUUCUAGCUCUCUGAAGGAAGAUUUCAUGAAAUAUGUCAUCAAUGAUGUCUAUGGAAAGGUGAAAUGUACAAACUCAGAGCUGACGUUGUCCAUCGUUGGCGCAUCAGAGCUGCCAAAAAGCAUGUACAAUGACUCAUUUUACUCUCGGCACCUGCACCAGUAUGGGGUGGGCUACCAGGCAGCAGAUGACUGUUGGAGUACAAUUGGCUAG